GGCAUACGGCUCAGUAACACGUAGGUAACCUACCCUCAGGACUGAGAUAACCCCGGGAAACUGGGGCUAAUAUUAGAUAGAUAAAAGAUACUGGAAUGUUCUUUUAUCCAAAGCUUUUGCGCCUGAGGAUGGGCCUGCGUCCGAUUAGGUUGUUGGUGGGGUAAUGGCCCACCAAGCCUGCGAUCGGUACGGGCAGUGGGAGCUGAAGCCCGGAGUUGGGGACUGAGACAAGGCCCCAGGCCCUACGGGGCGCAGCAGGCGCGAAACCUCUGCAAUGCGGGAAACCGUGACAGGGGGAUCCCAAGUGCUCAUGCAUUGCAUGGGCUGUUCUUUGGUCUAAGUAACCAGAGGAGUAAGGGCUGGGCAAGACCGGUGCCAGCCGCCGCGGUAAUACCGGCAGCUCAAGUGGUAGCCGCGAUUAUUGGGCCUAAAACGUUCGUAGCCGGAUAAGUAAGUCUUUGGUUAAAUCCUGCGACUCAACCGUGGGAAUUCUAGAGAUACUGCUUGUCUUGAGACCGGGAGAGGUUGGAGGUACUCCUAGGGUAGGGGUGAAAUCCUGUAAUCCUAGGGGGACCACCUGUGGCGAAGGCGUCCAACUGGAACGGGUCUGACGGUGAGGGACGAAACCUAGGGGAGCGAGCCGGAUUAGAUACCCGGGUAGUCCUAGGCGUAAAUGAUGCGAGUUAAGUGUGGGGGCAUCUACGAGAUGGCCCUGUGCUGUAGGGUAGCCGUUAAACUCGCUGCCUGGGGAGUACGGUCGCAAGGCUGAAACUUAAAGGAAUUGGCGGGGGAGCACCACACGAGGUGGAGGCUGC
rnacentral:rRNA from 1 species